rnacentral:tRNA from 1 species
GUGCCUAUAGUGUAAUGGAGAGCACGAGAUACUACGGAUAUUUUAGUAGGAGUUCAAAUCUUCUUAGGCACG